GAGAAAGUGGCUGGAGGGGAGAUGGAGAGAGGUUCACUGGCGGAGAUGGACAGCACACAGGAACAGGAGACUCCUUGUCAAGAACAGAGGAAGAAGAUAGAAGAUGCCGCCUGGAUGAAGACGUCUGCUGGUCUGGAUGUCCUCUUCUGCCCAGAUCGGAUGAAGACUUCUGCCGGUCUGGAGGUCCACUUGUGCCCGGCUGGGUGAAGACGGCUCAAGCAUUCACACUGGAUUUUUCGUCUGUGCUAAGCAGUCUCAUCCUCUCCUGCUUAGCCUGUCAGCCUCAUUAGCUCUGAGCUGAAUUCACCUGUGCCAUUACUGGAACACAGUCUGCAGCUACACACUUACCUGAGAAACUUCCAAACAUCAGAGCCUGUGGAAACCGCAAGUAUAACAGUAUUUACCUCAAAGUUGCUACUUUGAAUACCUGCUUUAGUGCAACCUUAAUAUCAUUUAUCUUGGACUGUGUGUAAAU